UACCUGCAGCUCAAGUGGUGAUCAUUAUUAUUGGGCCUAAAACGUCCGUAGCCGGUUUAGUAAAUGCCUGGGUAAAUCGUGUAGCUUAACUAUACGACUUCCGGGUAGACUGCUAAACUUGAGACCGGGAGAGGCUAGAGGUACUCCUGGGGUAGAGGUGAAAUUCUGUAAUCCUAGGGGGACCACCAGUGGCGAAGGCGUCUAGCUAGAACGGGUCUGACGGUGAGGGACGAAGCCCUGGGGCACAAACCGGAUUAGAUACCCCCGUA
rnacentral:rRNA from 1 species